rnacentral:rRNA from 1 species
AGAUUGAACGCUGGCGGCAGGCCUAACACAUGCAAGUCGAGCGGUAGAGAGGUGCUUGCACCUCUUGAGAGCGGCGGACGGGUGAGUAAUGCCUAGGAAUCUGCCUAGUGGUGGGGGAUAACGUUCGGAAACGGACGCUAAUACCGCAUACGUCCUACGGGAGAAAGCGGGGGACCUUCGGGCCUCGCGCCAUUAGAUGAGCCUAGGUCGGAUUAGCUAGUUGGUGAGGUAAUGGCUCACCAAGGCGACGAUCCGUAACUGGUACUGAGAGGAUGAUCAGUCACACUGGAACUGAGACGCGGGUCCAGACUCCUACGGGAGCAG